rnacentral:lncRNA from 1 species
AUGACUUACCGGCGGUGGCUCCGCGGCGUGCGCCCUGCCAGGAGGGGCCUGUGCUCGAGGAGCAGGCCUGGCGAGUAGCCCAGCCACUCCACGUUGAGCCGGGACUUGCCGCGCAACAUGGUCCUCCUGGGCGGGCGGCGGCUACGCCGCCCCCUGAACUCGCGUGAACACUGGUCCUCGUCUGCGUCUCGGUCGCUGAGCUGGGGGCCGCAAGGAGACCCGAGCAUAUGAGCCGCGAAGAGGGACUACCAGCCAGAGGGCUGUGGUGCUAGGCAACUGAGCGUAUUCCGCCGACGACAACACAAAAAAGCAGUGCGCAUUAUUUCGCCACUACUUGAGCAAAUAAAUGCCUCAUUAAUUACUGCCCGCAGUGGUAGGAAGUCAAGCCCUUGGCAGCUGGGAGGAGUUAAAACACUCACCCGAGUCCGUAAAACUAGAGAAUGUCAGAGUUCAAAGAGCUCUUGCUGAGAAUGACUGUUCCAGACUCGAUGCCAGUGACCCCCAACUUCCACUUAAAAGUUAAAAACAUAUUUUGCAGCUGCUCAGAAAGCCGCCAAUGAGACAACAGGGACUCAAAUAGUAAGAACAGAUGGGCCUCCCGGGCCUGCGCAACCCGAGAGAGGUAAAAACGAAAGGGUGGGUAAGUCUGGAGUCAGGCUUGACAAAAUUAAGUUGCCACUGGCUGCUAAUAAGAGGACAGCCCUUAACAUGGUCAGCGCCUGGAAAGGGCCGCUGACCACACAGCUAUUUUCUGCACCACAUGGAUACAAAGACCACAUCUGAAAUCAUGACUAAACCAGCAGCUUAGAGUGGUGGAAAGGGCAAUGGACUGGGCAGCAGGAAGUCCAGGUUUUAGUUCAAACUGAAUAAUCCCCCUCUAGGGCUGACUGUGCUGGCUCACGCCUGUAAUCUCAACACUUUGGGAAGCUGAGGCAGGAGGAUUGCGUGAGGCCAGUAGUUCCAGAGCAGCUUGGGCAGCAUAGCAAGACUCCGUCUCUAAAAAACAAACUGUAAAAUAUUUAAUAAAAAUAAUAGUAAUCUCUAUCUGGGCCUCAUCUAGACCUUUAGGUGAGUAAGAACCACCUAAUGUAAGAACUUGGGGUACAAAGAGAAUCUAGCUCUGGGGUAGGCAAACUGAGCCAGCCGACCUAAUACAUGGAGCCUACCACCUGUUUUUCUACAGCCCUGAGGUUCAUAUGCAGAAGGGACUUGCCUUUUCUCAGAUG